rnacentral:rRNA from 1 species
AGCUCCAAUAGCGUAUACUAAAGUUGUUGCAGUUAAAAAGCUCGUAGUUGAAUUUCUGGUCGUGGCAACCGGUCCGCCCCUCACGGGGUGUGCACCAGGUUUCUGCGGCCAUCCUCGGGGAGAGCACAUCGGGCAUUCAGUUGUCUGGUGUGGGAUCCUCGUCAUUUACUGUGAGCAAAAUAGAGUGUUCAAAGCAGGCUUAGGCCGUUGAAUACAUUAGCAUGGAAUAAUAAGAUAGGACCUUGGUCUAUUUUGUUGGUUUGCAUUCCAAGGUAAUGAUUAAUAGGGAUAGUUGGGGGUAUUCGUAUUCAAUUGUCAGAGGUGAAAUUCUUGGAUUUAUGGAAGACGAACUACUGCGAAAGCAUUUACCAAGGAUGUUUUCAUUAAUCAAGAACGAAAG